CCUACGGGAGGCAGCAGUGAGGAAUAUUGGUCAAUGGACGAGAGUCUGAACCAGCCAAGUAGCGUGAAGGAUGACUGCCCUAUGGGUUGUAAACUUCUUUUAUAUGGGAAUAAAAUGUUCCACGUGUGGGAUUUUGUAUGUACCAUAUGAAUAAGGAUCGGCUAACCUCGUGCCAGCAGCCGCGGUAAUACGGAGGAACCGGGCGUUAUCCGGAUUUUAUGGGUUUAAAGGGAGCGUAGGUGGGUUGUUAAGUUAGUUGUGAAAGUUUGCGGCCCAAACGUAAAAUUGCAGUUGAAACUGGCAGUCUUGAGUACAGUAGAGGUGGGCGGAAUUCGUGGUGUAGCGGUGAAAUGCUUAGAUAUCACGAAGAACUCCGAUUGCGAAGGCAGUUCACUGGACUGCAACUGACACUGAGGCUCGAAAGUGUGGGUAUCAAACAGGAUUAGAUACCCCUGUAGUC
rnacentral:rRNA from 1 species